rnacentral:rRNA from 1 species
AUAUUGGACAAUGGGCGAAAGCCUGCUCCAGUCACGCCGCGUGUGCGAAGAAGGUCUUCGGUUUGUAAAGCACAUCAAGUCGCGAGGAAGCGCCGGAAGUCAGUACCUUCCUGUUUUGACGUUCCCGACAGAUUAACUACCGGCUAACUCCGUGCCAGCAUCCGCGGUAAUACUAAGGGUGCAAGCGUUAAUCGGAAUUACUGGGCGUAAAGGGCGCGUAGGUAGUUUGUUAAGUUGGAAGUGAAAGGCCCGGGCUCAACCUGGGAACUGCUUUCAAAACUGGCAAGCUAGAGUAUGGAAGAGGGUGGUGGAAUUUCCUGUGUAGCGGUGAAAUGCGUAGAUAUAGGAAGGAACACCAGUGGCAAAGGCGACCACCUGGGCUAAUACUGACACUGAGGUGCGAAAGCGUGGGGAGCAAACAGG